CCUACGGGAGGCAGCAGUAGGGAAUUUUCGUCAAUGGGCGCAAGCCUGAACGAGCAAUGCCGCGUGAACGAGGAAGGUCUUCGGAUCGUAAAGUUCUGUUGAAGGGGAAAAAGAGCGGAGAGAGGAAAUGCUUUCUGAUUGAUAUUACCCUUCGAGGAAGUCACGGCUAACUACGUGCCAGCACCCGCGGUAAUACGUAGGUGGCGAGCGUUAUCCGGAAUGAUGGGGCGUAAGGGGUGCGUAGGCGGCCUGCUAAGUCUGGAGUGAAAGGUACCGGCUCAACCGGGACAGGGUCUGGAAACUGGCGGGCUAGAGAGCAGGAGAGGGCGGUGGAACUCCAUGUGUAGCGGUAAAAUGCGUAGAUAUAUGGAAGAACACCAGUGGCGAAGGCGGCCGCCUGGCCUGUUACUGACGCUGAGGCACGAAAGCGUGGGGAGCAAAUAGGAUUAGAUACCCUUGUAGUC
rnacentral:rRNA from 1 species